CUUGCUUCGUGUAAAAAACGCCGUCGCUGUAAAUUCCGGCUGCGGUCCCAAAGCGUUUGGGGGCUCGGGACCUACACGCCGGCGCGCAAUUCCCUCCUCUUGGGGUUGCGCAUCCAGUAGGCUCAGGAGACCCCGAGG
rnacentral:lncRNA from 1 species